UUUUUAAAGCAUUUCUCAUUUGGAAAAGUCUAUAGAGAAAAGGGAAAGCAAACAUACAGAAACAAACAAAGAGACCAAAAUGACCCAUCACUACAUCAUACCCCACAUCCCAAAAUAUGGUAAAUAGGAUAAUUUUUCUAUGCAGAUGUUGAACA